AAGUCGUAACAAGGUUUCCGUAGGUGAACCUGCGGAAGGAUCAUUAUUGAAUAAACCUGAUGUGGUUGAAGCUGGCUCUCUCGGGAGCAUGUGCACACCCGUCGUCUUUAUAUCUCCACCUGUGCACUUUUUGUAGACUUUGAUAUAACACUUUCCGAGGAAACUCGGUCGGGAGGAAUGCCGUGCGUCAAAUGCCGGCUUUCCUUGAAUGUCCUGGUCUAUGUUUUCACAUACCCCAAAGAAUGUAACAGAAUGUAUCAUUGGGCCUUGUGCCUAUAAACUAAAUACAACUUUCAGCAA
rnacentral:misc_RNA from 1 species